GCCUAAUCCUAGUCCAAUUUUAUUUACUAACGGCCACCCCAUUAAUAAACAAAACAUUUGAAAAAACCAGUAGUGGAGAUCAAAAAUUUUCUUUGGCACAAUAGUUUACGUACCGCAAGGGAACGCUUAAAGAAAUGAAAUAAAAAAGCAAAAAAAAGCAGAGAUCUAUACUCGUACCUUUUGCAUCAUGGUUUAGCAAGAAGAUGCUGACAAGAAGCACCCAGUCAGACCACCCGAAACCAGGUGAGCUACUUCUGAGCAGCUAUAGCGCGCACCCUUCUCUGUAGCAAAAGAGUGGGAAGACUCAGCAGUAGCGGUGAAACGCCUAUCGAACCUGGCGAUAGCUGGCUGUUCAAAAAAGGAUUUAAGUCCUCCUUAGGUAAAAAACAAACUAAAAAUUAAUCCUAAAGGAGUCUCUGGGGGAACAGCUCCAGAGACAAGGGAUACAGCCCUAAGCUGAGAGAAAGAAAAAAAAAUAAACCCGUGGGCUCUAAAGCAGCCAUCAGAAAAAAUAGCGUCCAAGCAUAGCUUUCUAAAAAUACCAGAUCUGCUACCGACCUCCAGCAAGCAAACAAAAGAACAACCCUAUAUAAAUAGAGAUAAUAAUGCUAAAACUACUAAUACGAGCAGCCUCUUCUAGCGCAUCUAGAACUCAAAACGACUGACAUCUAACGGACCAUAAAAGGUACAGGAAAGCCCAAUUUUUAUAUCCUUGCCCCCCCCGUAAAAUCAACUCAGAAGCGCAAAAAUAAAAUUAAAAGUUACAAAAGGAACUCGGCAAACAUAAACUCCAACUGUUUACCAAAAACAUAGCCCCCAGCUAAGCAAGUAUUGGGGGUAAUGCCUGCCCAGUGAAAUAAAAUUUUAACGGCCGCGGUACCCUAACCGUGCAAAGGUAGCGUAAUCAUUUGUCUACUAAUUAUAGACCAGUAUGAAAGGCCACAUGAGAGUUUAACUGUCUCUUGUAACCAAUUUAUAAAACUGAUCUCCUAGUUCAAAAGCUAGGAUACUAUCAUAAGACGAGAAGACCCUGUGAAGCUUAAAAAAUCUCUUUAAUACUACUAAGGAGUACUUUUAGUUGGGGCAACUUUGGAAAAAACCACAACUUCCAAGCGGCCAACAGCCCUACAAGACCUACAAGUCAACCUCGACCCAGUAUAACUGAUAAAUGAACCAAGUUACUCCAGGGAUAACAGCGCAAUCUUCUUUAAGAGCCCAUAUCAAAAAGAGGGUUUACGACCUCGAUGUUGGAUCAGGACACCCCAGUGACGCAGCCGCUACUAAAGGUUCGUUUGUUCAACGAUUAAAGUCCUACGUGAUCUGAGUUCAGACCGGAGAGAUCCAGGUCGGUUUCUAUCUAUGAACCAGUUUUUCCAGUACGAAAGGACCGAAAAACUAAAGCCCCUGCUCCACGCACGCUUUAUUAAGAAACAAAUUUAAUAAAAGUUGAUAAGAACAACAAGCCACCCCAAGAAGAGGGGGAC
rnacentral:rRNA from 1 species